GGAGCAGGAUCGGGGAGGACACACAGGUGGGCGUCUCAAGAACUGUGGUGUACACAGCUGAGCCCCUGCAGCUCUGCUUUGCCGGGCCUCACCCUCGGUGCUGGGUGCAAGACGUGACAAGAUGGCAUGGGAAGCUUCCCGGGGAACGCUGGAACUGGGUGUUUGAAGGAGGACCUCAUGGCGGCAGCUCCAGCCCAAGUACUGCAACUGUGGGGCCGUGCCAGGAGCAGGUGCUGCGGAGCCUGUGUGGGUCCAGGACAAGAGGAGCACCAGAAGCCCCUGGAGGGCCGUGCAGACGACACUGUCGGGCCGGCCCAGCCCAGGCCCCAGCAGUUAUGACUCCUCUGUGAUCAGAGGAUGUGGCUGAGGAUGUGCAUUUCCGUCAAGUUCCCAGGAGAACCUGGUGCUGCUGCUUCGGGGACCCCACUUUGAGGACCACUGAUCUAACACUGCCCCUCGUGGCAAACGCGGAAUGACUCAAGAUUCAGCUGGAUGGAUCAUUCAGGGAGCAAAUCCACCUUUGCCGCCUGGCACACCCUGGCCAUUCGGUAACGAUGCCAUCAGGGUUACUGGCUUCUUCAUUCUCCACUGUGCAUUCCAGGGUGGGCAUUUCCACAGUUGUGAGCCCAUCAUCAACUCAGCGAGUUCCCAUUUUCCAGUUAGAAAAUAAGCUUUCUGAUGGUUAGCCAUUCACUUCACUUGGCUCUAGAAAAGAUUUCAGGAAUGUAUAAUUUAUUUUUAACAUAAAGAAAAGCUAAGUGUAAACUAGAUAAGCUACAACAAUUGUCCCAGACAUUAUAGACACUCACAGCACCGUUUUCCUCUUCUAGCAAAACAAAACAAAAAAUUCUGCAAUCAUACAGGCAGUAGGAAAAAAAAUUAGCUGGACACCAUGGCUCACACCUGUAACCC
rnacentral:antisense_RNA from 1 species